GCAAGGAGGCCACAAUGGGACUUACCAAUUCUCUCAAUGCGCUUCUGGUCGGUGCUGCGUUUGUCUUCGUUGCCGCGAUGCUUUUCGUGUGAGGAGAGCGAAGACGGAUCAAGGGCCUUAGGAUCUGACAGGCCAACAAAUCAAUGAAAAGGGCGC
rnacentral:sRNA from 1 species